rnacentral:rRNA from 1 species
UGAGGAACAUGACUUUCGGCGGGGGAUAGCCGGCCCAACGGCCGGGUAAUACCGCGUACGACCACAUGGGGACAUCCCUGAGUGGUGAAAGCAGCAAUGCGCCGAUGGAGUGCCUCGCGGCCUAUCAGCUAGUUGGUGAGGUAACGGCUCACCAAGGCGACGACGGGUANCUGGUCUGAGAGGAUGGCCAGCCACAUUGGAACUGAGACACGGUCCAGACCUCUACGGGAG